rnacentral:rRNA from 1 species
UACAUGUGGGGCAAGCGUUGUUCGGAAUUACUGGGCAUAAAGGGUGCGUAGGUGGCUUGUUAAGUCAGGGGUGAAAUCCCACGGCCCAACCGUGGAACUGCCUUUGAUACUGGCGAGCUUGAGUGCGUGAGGGGUGAUCGGAACGAGUAGUGUAGCGGUGAAAUGCGAAGAUAUUACUCGGAAGGCCAACGGCGAAGGCAGAUCACUGGUGCGCAACUGACACUGAGGCACGAAAGCGUGGGGAGCAAACAGG